UACGUAGGCAGCAAGCGUUGUUCGGAAUUACUGGGCGUAAAGAGUAUGUAGGCGGUUCGCCAAGUUUGAUGUGAAAUCUCCCGGCUUAACUGGGAGGGUGCGUCGAAUACUGGCGGGCUUGAGGGUGGGAGAGGCAAGCGGAAUUUCUGGUGUAGCGGUGAAAUGCGUAGAUAUCAGAAGGAACACCUGUGGUGUAGACAGCUUGCUGGACCAUUUCUGACGCUGAGAUACGAAAGCGUGGGUAGCAAACAGG
rnacentral:rRNA from 1 species